rnacentral:snoRNA from 1 species
AGUUUGUUAUGAUAAUGAGCAAAAUGUUCAACUACUACAAAUGGGCUGAGUGAACACUCAUUUCAGGUUUUCUGAACAUCC